rnacentral:lncRNA from 1 species
AGGGCCUGGUGACAGAUCUGGUCAUCCCCGAGGACCCAGCCCAAUGGCCCCCUCCCACUCUCAGGGACUGAGCCCUGCACCCACCCACCACCCAUUCCAGCUUGGCCAGGCCCGGACUCCACCACAUUUUUGUGCUGAAUUCAAUCCAGAGAUAUUCCUCAAGGGAUUCACUGUAGCAAGCAGGAAGCUAUCACAAGGGCUGAGGCCCAGCUGCCUUCAUUGUAGAGACAAGGCCUGAACCCACUUCUGUACAAUCCAUGACAUCCUGCUGCCAGACGCCUCAGUUUGGAAACCACACUUUGACGUCAACCAGCCGUGGAAGCGGGGACAAGUCAUUCCUCUCGGUCUUGAUUUUCCUCAUCUGUGAAAGAGAGCCAAACGUGACCUGAAAAAUCCCUCUGCAGUACAAAGUUUCCAAACCUUGACUGCCUCUAUUUGCCUGCUUUUUAAAAUAAAUAACAGAUGGAACUAAAAUCAAGUUAUUUAGAUUCUCCUGAUUUCCUAAGCUACAGGGACCGUGGAUCAAUCCUGCCAUGAUGUAUAAGGUCAAAGUGCAACUUACAUUUUUCAAAGAUACUAAGUAAUAAUUCUGGUGUUCUUGUUUAUUUGACAUAAUUUGCCAUCGCCUCAAAAAUUAAAACUGAAGUCCUUUUGAUUCUAUUUUAUAUUUUGAGUUUUUCUAUGUCCUUUGACUUAUUUAGAAUUGUAUUUUAAAUUUGCAUCCAAACGGAGAUUUUAUUUCUUUUUGUUUUGCCUUCUAAUUUAAUUGCACCCUAGUCAGUGAAUAUGCCCUGUAAGAAAUUUCUUUGAAAUUAUUGACACUUGAUUAGCAGAAUAGUAGAUGGGUCAUUUAUCUAAACAGUGUACCAUUUUUGCUUAGGAAGACAGUCUAUUCUUAGUUGGAUGCUGACAUAUAGGUAUGUUAAAUCAAGCUUGUUGUUCAAAUCAUUUAUAUUUAAAUCCUAUUAGUAUUUGAGACAGAGUUGAAAUACACUAUUUUUUGGUGAAUAUCUUUAUAUUUUGGGCAAAACUUAUUUGUGUAUAAAUUUAAAACACAUUUUCUGAUGAGUGAACUUUUAUCAUUAUGUGUGAAUCUCUCCUUCCCUAAUGACACCCUAAUGAUAAUUUUCUGUCUCAAAGUCUAUUUUGCUGUACCCAACCUUUUCUUUGGUUAGAAUUUGCCUGGUGUAUAUAUUGUCCUCUCUUUGUAUGUCUAAACUUCCUUUGUACUUAAUUCUUAGGUGUGUUACUUACUAAAGGCAUGUAUACUUAUUUGUUUCUUGUAUAUGCUACAAAUUUCCUUUGUGCAAAAAUCUAAAUACAGGUUCUAAACUUUCCUACUUUUUACACAAAGCCGUCAAUCCAUACACAAAGUUUUUGCCUUGUUUUUUCAUUUAACUUUCUAUCUUUCUUCUGCCAGAUUGCAUUGGGUAGUAACAUCAAUAAAAUGCUACAUGAUAGUAAUAAAGUACACAUCCUUAUCUUGGCUCUUUCUCAAGUAUAUUUCGUGCUUCCAUAUUAAGAAUGAUGAUUUGGGAAUUAGAUAGUCAUAUUUUAUAUUCUUUUAUUGAUUUUUAAAUUAAGAACUCAAGA